UACGUAGGGGGCAAGCGUUGUCCGGAAUCAUUGGGCGUAAAGCGCGCGUAGGCGGCCCGGUAAGUCCGCUGUGAAAGUCCAGGGCUCAACCCUGGAAAGCCGGUGGAUACUGCCGGGCUAGAGUCCGGAAGAGGCGAGUGGAAUUCCUGGUGUAGCGGUGAAAUGCGCAGAUAUCAGGAGGAACACCGAUGGCGAAGGCAGCUCGCUGGGACGGUACUGACGCUGAGGCGCGAAAGCGUGGGGAGCAAACAGG
rnacentral:rRNA from 1 species